rnacentral:rRNA from 1 species
GACGAACGCUGGCGGCGUGCCUAACACAUGCAAGUCAACGAGAAAGGGGUAGCAAUAUCCCGAGUAAAGUGGCGCACGGGUGAGUAACACGUAGGUAAUUUGCCAUCAGGACGGGGACAACCACGCGAAAGCGUAGCUAAUACCCGAUGAAGCAGCGGUGCCGCAUGGCAUUGUUGUUAAAUACCGCAAGGUGCCUGAUGAUAAACCUGCGUCCCAUUAGGUAGUUGGGAGGUAACGGCUCACCAAGCCGACGAUGGGUAGCUGGUCUGAGAGGAUGAUCAGCCACACUGGAACUGAGACACGGUCCAGACUCCUACGGGAGGCAGCAGUGAGGAAUAUUGCGCAAUGGCCGAAAGG